UAAGUAAGCGGAGGAAAAGAAACUAAACUGGAUUCCCUAAGUAAUGGCGAAUGAACAGGGAUGAGCUCAUUGUUAAAAUCAGGGUCCCUGACUCUGAGUUGUAGCCUGGAGAUGCGUCGCCAACAGGGGCGUAGGUGCGAACCUCUUGGAAAAGAGCAUCAAGGAGGGUGAGAAUCCCAUGCAUCACCUGUGGCCCCCUGUGCUCGGCGCGCUUUCUAAGAGUCACGCUCCUCGGGAUUGGAGCGCAAAGUGGGUGGUAAAUGCCAUCUUAAGCUAAAUAUGGGUUCGAGACCGAUAGCAAACAAGUACCAUGAGGGAAAGGUGAAAAGGACUUUGGAAAGAGAGUUAAAAGUGCCUGAAAUUGCUGUAAGGGAAGCGAAUGGAACCAGUCAGCCUUGGUGAGAUUGCUGCGCGCUCAAGUGAGGCCCUGCUCCGGUAGUGCAAACACGGCUGCAGGCGUCGAUCUGGUUGCGCGUGGUCGCUUCUUGCUCUGGGUGUCAGCGUCAGCUCAACUCUGAGGACAACCCCAAGGACAUGGAAGGCCGCCCCCGGGUGGCUGAAGGUGCUUGGCGGAACUCAAGCGUGGACUGCUGGCGCAACGCGCUGCGCUGACGACAUGAUUCGUCGGCCCGUCUGGA
rnacentral:rRNA from 1 species